GAUGAACGCUAGCUACAGGCUUAACACAUGCAAGUCGAGGGAACGGCGCACGGGCGAGUAACACGUAUCCAACCUGCCCUUUACUAGGGGAUAGCCUUUCGAAAGAAAGAUUAAUACCCGAUAUAAAGGAUGGGGAUGCGUUCCAUUAGGUUGUUGGUGAGGUAACGGCUCACAAAGCUUACGAUGGAUAGGGGUUCUGAUAGGAAGGUCCCCCACAUUUGAACUGAGACACGGUCCAAACUGCUACGGGAGGCAGCAGUGAGGAAUAUUGGUCAAUGGGCGCUAGCCUGACCCAGCCAAGUAGCGUGAAGGAUGAAGGCUUAUGGGUCGUAAACUUCUUUUAUAUAAGAAUAUGUAUUAUAUGAAUAAGGAUCGGCUAACUCCGUGCCAGCAGCCGCGGUAAUAC
rnacentral:rRNA from 1 species